UGUUUGAUGUUCUAACGUGGACCCGUGAUCCGGGUUGCGGACAGUGUCUGGUGGGUAGUUUGACUGGGGCGGUCUCCUCCUAAAGAGUAACGGAGGAGCACGAAGGUUGGCUAAUCCUGGUCGGACAUCAGGAGGUUAGUGCAAUGGCAUAAGCCAGCUUGACUGCGAGCGUGACGGCGCGAGCAGGUGCGAAAGCAGGUCAUAGUGAUCCGGUGGUUCUGAAUGGAAGGGCCAUCGCUCAACGGAUAAAAGGUACUCCGGGGAUAACAGGCUGAUACCGCCCAAGAGUUCAUAUCGACGGCGGUGUUUGGCACCUCGAUGUCGGCUCAUCACAUCCUGGGGCUGAAGUAGGUCCCAAGGGUAUGGCUGUUCGCCAUUUAAAGUGGUACGCGAGCUGGGUUUAGAACGUCGUGAGACAGUUCGGUCCCUAUCUGCCGUGGGCGCUGGAGAACUGAGGGGGGCUGCUCCUAGUACGAGAGGACCGGAGUGGACGCAUCACUGGUGUUCGGGUUGUCAUGCCAAUGGCACUGCCCGGUAGCUAAAUGCGGAAGAGAUAAGUGCUGAAAGCAUCUAAGCACGAAACUUGCCCCGAGAUGAGUUCUCCC
rnacentral:rRNA from 4 species